UACGUAGGAUCCAAGCGUUAUCCGGAAUUACUGGGCGUAAAGAGUUGCGUAGGCGGCUUGUUAAGUAGAUAGUGAAAGCGUGUGGCUCAACCAUACAAACAUUAUCUAAACUGGCAAGCUUGAGUAUGGGAGAGGUAGAUGGAAUUGCUAGUGUAGGAGUGAAAUCCGUAGAUAUUAGCAGGAACACCGAUGGCGUAGGCAGUCUACUGGCCCAUUACUGACGCUAAGGCACGAAAGCGUGGGGAGCGAACGGG
rnacentral:rRNA from 1 species